AAAGACUUAGUCCUAACCUUACCGUUAACUCUUACCAGAUAUAUACAUGCAAGUAUCCGCGCUCCAGUGUAAAUGCCCUUAACCUCCUACCUAAUUUGAGGUAAAGGAGCAGGUAUCAGGCACGCCCUUCCUUGCAGCCCAAGACACCUUGCUCAGCCACACCCCCACGGGCACUCAGCAGUAAUUAACAUUAAGCAAUGAGCGAAAGCCCGACUUAGUCAUGGUAACGUCAGGGUUGGUAAAUCUUGUGCCAGCCACCGCGGUCACACAAGAGACCCAAGUUAACUGCAGCACGGCGUAAAGAGUGGAGCUAUAUUAUCAUGUUAACUAAGAUCGAAGUGUAGCUAAGCUGUCAUAAGCCCAAGAUGCACCUAAGCUCAUACUCAAGACAGUCUUAGCAUCCGUGAUUAAUUAUACCCCACGAAAGCUAAGGCACAAACUGGGAUUAGAUACCCCACUAUGCUUAGCCCUAAAUCCUGAUACUUACCCUACCAAAGUAUCCGCCUGGGAACUACGAGCACAAACGCUUAAAACUCUAAGGACUUGGCGGUACCCCACACCCACCUAGAGGAGCCUGUUCUAUAAUCGAUAACCCACGAUGCACCCAACCGCUCCUUGCUACAACAGCCUACAUACCGCCGUCGCCAGCUUACCUCCCCUGAGAGUAUAAUAGUGAGCACAAUAGCCUACCCACGCUAACAAGACAGGUCAAGGUAUAGCUCAUGAGGCGGAAGAAAUGGGCUACAUUUUCUAAGAUAGGAAACCCUACGGAAAGGGGAGUGAAACCUCCCCUAGAAGGUGGAUUUAGCAGUAAAGCGGGAUAAUAAAGCCCCCUUUAAACUGGCCCUGGGGUACGUACAUACCGCCCGUCACCCUCUUCACAAGCUACUAAGCCUAAUAAUUAAUAUGCUACCCAGCUAAAGAUGAGGUAAGUCGUAACAAGGUAAGCGUACCGGAAGGUGCGCUUAGCAUA
rnacentral:ncRNA from 1 species